CUGGAGGGCAGGAGACUUACUAAGGGUCUUUCCUCCCUGGGUAGAAGGGUUGGCUGGCCCUGUUUUGGCCGUCUGCCGUUUGGCCGGGUCAAUAGUGACCCUAGGCAGAGAGGAAGAGCAGCAAGAGGUUAAAGGACACAAGAAGUUUAUGGACGUCACAGAAACGAGGACAACGGUGAAAACCCAUGUAAAGAGCGAUGAUGAUGAUGAUAAUGAGGAUGAGGAGGAGGAGGAGGAUGAGGAUGAGGACACCAGAGCUGACUGACAUGAGGCUCCAGGUGAAGAUGAGGAUGAUGACGACAGAGAAAAACAACCGUCUACCACUCGGCCACCAGAGGGCGCCACGAGCCCUGCAGCUCCUCCGCCUCUGAGAUAAACUAGAGCAGAGCCUCCUUCGCUUUCACCACAAGAACAUUCGGUCUUUAAGGAACUCGGUGUUUUCACAGCCUCUUUAAUCCGACCCGUGAGAACAAAGACUGAACUGAAACCAGCGGUUUUUCUGUGUCUGUCUUUGGUAAAAUGGGACAUUGAGACCAGACCUCAACUGUCUGAUAGUUGUUCAUGACCUGCAGAAAACUGUUAGUAGUGGCUGAUGAAUCUUUUCUUUAAAUACUAAAAUAUAACUAUUUUUUAAAUACAUUUUAUUCACAAAUAAUGAAUUAAUCAAACGUGAUUUCUAUCAAAGACAUAUCAAAUUUAAGAAAAUCUUAUUGUGUGUAAUUAAUUAAGAUGAUUUUACUAUAUCCUGUAGUUAAUUAGCGUACGAGCUAACACGUCCCAGUCCAGUCUGAAUGUAAACAGACAUUAAUUAACCCAGUUCCCUGUUCGUUAGCUAUAACUAAAUAAACUCUAGUGGAGUUGAAUCUAAAACUUUCACAAGCACCAGAUAAAAAAAAGGGAAGGUGGUGAGCAACGUCUUCAAUAAUAAUAAUAAUAAUAAAAAAAGAUUUAAAUACAUUUUAUUCACAAAUCUAACUCAUGAAAAUCCCAUUUCAAAUUUAUGAGUGUAUUUAAUUAGGAUGAUUUUACUAUAUUCUGGUCUAACUUCAGUGAAUUGUGCCGUGACUAUAAUUACUAACGAUACGACACGUAUCACGAUACUCGAGUCACGAUACAUUAUUGCGAUAUUAUGAUAUUGCAAUAUAUAUAGCAACUAUAUACAUUUGACAAAUUGAAUCAAAAAUCAACAUGAAUCCAAAGGAUCCAUUUACAGUUAAGUGAACUUAAACAAAAUGUUGUGGUGGAAGUUUUUUUUUUCCUUUUCUUUGUAUCGGAAGAAAAAGUAUCGCGAUAUAUCGCCAUAUCAAUAUUUUUUUCCCACCCUUAGUAAUUAGAAAUAUAUGUGUAUUUUAUUUAUAGUAAAGUGUCACCAUUCAUACAUUGAAUUAACAUGCACGUCUAUGUGAGAGGAAGCGCAGCAGAAACAGGAAGAACGUAGGAAAGAUCCCCAGAAGGAAAGAACCCACAACCUUAAUGAUGCUAAACACCGCUAACAGCGUUAGCCUCGAUGUCGAGGAAUUUUUAAAAAACGAUCAGAUCGGUAUCAGGAUCUGGCAUGAACCAAAACCACGUGGCUGUAGCGUCAAAUCAUCUAAUUGUUCUUUAAAGGAGAUUAUUAAUUAAGGACAACGCUGCAGAAAAUCCGAAGAAGAAGAAGAAUCAAAAUCUGAAAUUAAGCAACGAGGAUGUUUGGUUUGGUGAGGUGGCAGCAGGAGAUCGUCACACGAAACAAAACUCGAUUUCGCCACAAAAAUAAAGCAACAAACACGAAGAGGAGGCAGCAUCAAGGUGGAAAAUCUUGCAGAGAAGGUGCAGAACAUUUCUCCACGAUAAAGAAAAAUUAAAAAUUAAAAAAAAAAAAAGCUGCAAAGUCGACAAAAGAAUCUUCCACCGAAGAAAUCUGGUUUAAACUUUUUAAAUUCCUGCAAGUGUCUGUAAUGAAUGGCUCUUUUCCCUCUGCACUGGGGAAGAUGAAGCUACACGAACACGUCAAUGUAGAUAAAAAGCUGUGUUUAAAAUAAUAAAAAAAUAAAAUAAAAUAAAAUAAAAUAAACACACACACACACAAACAAAGCUCUUUAUGGCUCAGAAACAGAAGAAAAUAAAUUAAUCGUUCCUGCGCCAUAAAGAGUCUGUUUUAUGGAGAAUAAUGCAGCAGGGGUUUUGUUUUAAAACACCACGUCUAACAUGAGAAUCAUUAACAACAAUCUUUGUGGUGAGAGAACAAACCACAAUCGAUGGCAGCUGAGAGAAGCCCCCCUCCCUCCCCCUUCCCUCCCAUCCCUCCCCCUCCCCACGCAUGCACUGGCGAUUGAUUAGUGGCAAGCUGCGUUGUUUGUUGCUGUUGGUUAAUCGACUGAUUGUUCCCAAUCAUCGCUUAUCCACUCAGACCAACCACAGCGACGCCGGGUCCGUUUACACACACACACGGGGACACGAGUUGAAACCGGAUUAAUGCAAAAAUAACGUCUAGAGAAUCCAACGUCGUCUGCCUCAAGAAACAUCUUCACUUGUCUUUGUAUCUGUUUUAUUUAAACUCUCUUAAAGGGAACAUUUUGAUAUCAGGGCUGGAUGUAAAUCAGCCUUCAGACUGUUAGCUUAGCUUAGCUUAGCAUAAAAGGGGGGAAAACGGUUUAGAUCUGUCAGAAAAGUAACGAAAUGCAGCCUUUACACCUUUAUUUUAUUCAUUUAAAGCCUCCACAUGUGUUAAAUUUCACCUGUUCAUGAGACAGUGUGAGUUAAAGACGAUUAAAGGCCUUUUUGAGACGAUUAUGGGUUAAAUUUAAGUACUAAAAUAAGGAAAAUGGUAAUAAAUGGUAAUAAAUGCAUGUAAGGAUUUAAGACUAAUUUACGAUUUAAGACUUUUUAACCCCUUAAAUUGGGAUUGACAAAUUUUAGACUGUGUUGUGGAGCCAGUUUUUGACUCUCCACUAACUGCAACUUCCUCGUUUGUCAUGUGAUGCACUUUGGCCCAUAACUCUUGCUUGCUCGCUCCAUUCAUGUGUGCAAAGGACACUUGAAUGAGAAUUACUCCAGGGGCUUAAAACCGUGGAUUUCAGCUACAUGAACGCCCUCAAAAAACCAGCUCAACUGGGAGUUGCAGCUCUUCCGCCGUCGAGCGAACACGUCCCAGUCCAGUCUGAACGUAAACUGACCUUAAUAAACCCU